rnacentral:rRNA from 1 species
GAUGAACGCUGGCGGCGUGCCUAAUACAUGCAAGUCGAGCGAACAGACGAGGAGCUUGCUCCUCUGACGUUAGCGGCGGACGGGUGAGUAACACGUGGAUAACCUACCUAUAAGACUGGGAUAACUUCGGGAAACCGGAGCUAAUACCGGAUAAUAUAUUGAACCGCAUGGUUCAAUAGUGAAAGACGGUUUUGCUGUCACUUAUAGAUGGAUCCGCGCCGCAUUAGCUAGUUGGUAAGGUAACGGCUUACCAAGGCAACGAUGCGUAGCCGACCUGAGAGGGUGAUCGGCCACACUGGAACUGAGACACGGUCCAGACUCCUACGGGAGGCAGCAGUAGGGAAUCUUCCGCAAUGGGCGAAAGCCUGACGGAGCAACGCCGCGUGAAUGAUGAAGGUCUUCGGAUCGUAAGACUCUGUUAUUAGGGAAGAACAAAUGUGUAAGUAACUAUGCACGUCUUGACGGUACCUAAUCAGAAAGCCACGGCUAACUACGUG